GUGUGUGGUGUAGUGGUUUGACUGUUGGCCUAUGACUCUGGAGACCAGGGUUCGAUUCCCAGCUCGGCCA